rnacentral:lncRNA from 1 species
GCCACCAAACAUUGUCUUUUUGGCUAUGAGUUUAUCUAACACCUGCUGUCAGGCCGUUGGCUAACCACCAACCAAUCCCCAGCCUGUCACAUCCGUAUCCAAACAGUAGCCAAGGCAGCCUGCACAGUGCUGUUUCCUGGGUUUGUGACCUGCCCCAGCUCCGUCCCAAGCUGCCAGGCCAAGGCUCUGCCUGGACCAGACACGUUUGAACUUAAGAAAGUGGCUGCUCCUCUGUCUCCAGCUUUUUCCUGCUCUUCUGCAAUAGACCGGUUCCUGUAUAGCUCUGAACGUACUCUGUACACAGUUCUGCACAGUGGACACCAGGAACUCGAGAAACUGCCCAUACACAAUGACCCAGAAUCCCUGGAAUCAUGCUUCUGAUUGAGGACAUGGCUCACAACUAAGCCAUUCAUUCCCAUUCAUGUCUGCAUGAACAGAACACCCUGGCAUCUCUCCUGACCCUCAUCACCACCUGUGAGGCAUGGGGCCAUGGGGCCGAGGGCCCAGGGAAGGCACGUGGGUGA